UACGUAGGGUGCGAGCGUUGUCCGGAAUUACUGGGCGUAAAGAGCUCGUAGGUGGUUUGUCGCGUUGUCCGUGAAAACUCACAACUCAAUUGUGGGCGUGCGGGCGAUACGGGCAGACUGGAGUACUGCAGGGGGAGACUGGAAUUCCUGGUGUAGUGGUGGAAUGCGCAGAUAUCAGGAGGAACACCGGUGGCGAAGGCGGGUCUCUGGGCAGUAACUGACGCUGAGGAGCGAAAGCGUGGGGGAGCGAACAGG
rnacentral:rRNA from 1 species